UGCCCACAGGAGUCCUGUGGAUCCACUCAUUAAGGAAGAACAUGCCCACAGCUGAGACCCAAAAGACUUCCCUGGAGGUGUUCUUUCUCUGUGGAAGAACAGCAGCACAGCUCCCUCUGUGUGAAUGCACGUCUAUUCUUCUGGUUAUUAUCCCCAGCAGAGCCUGUGAGCUUACACGCGCGGUAUACACCCGAUCACACACACGGGGCGGGGCGGGGGGGGGGGGACAGAGAGAGAACAAGCGAAUGCCUUGCAGUCGCUGCUUCAUACUCCUUGGCAUGCCCCAAAGAUGUGGCACCGGGCACAGAGAAGAGGGCCGGUGCACUCAGAGGUCAGGGAGUGGACUCAUCCAUGCCCUAGAGGUGCUGCAAGCCCCCGCCCAGCCGCUGCCGUUUCCCCGGGCAGGUGUCCUGAGCCCUGACGUCGCGGCUGCGGAAGCCCAGAGUCUCUAGGACUCGACCUGGUGAGCACCAACUGCCUAGGAGGUCCCGCAGGCCGGGAGGUGGCACGCGUGGAGAUGGCGGGCCGCCGAGGAAGGGGUCACCGCAGAUGGAAGAAACAGGAGGCUGCAGGCCAGUGGAGAGACCUGGGGACUUGGUGGGAUAGAGGGUGG